rnacentral:rRNA from 1 species
CUGAUGCAGCGACGCCGCGUGAGGGAUGACGGCCUUCGGGUUGUAAACCUCUUUCAGUAGGGAAGCAGCCGCUUCGGCGGUGACGGUACCUGCAGAAGAAGUACCGGCUAACUACCUGCCAGCAGCCGCGGUAAUACGUAGGGUACAAGCGUUGUCCGGAAUUAUUGGGCGUAAAGAGUCGUAGGCGGUUCGUCGCGUCUGCUGUGGAAACGCAAGGCUCAACCUUGCGCGUGCAGUGGGUACGGGCGGACUAGAGUGCAGUAGGGGAGUCUGGAAUUCCUGGUGUAGCGGUGAAAUGCGCAGAUAUCAGGAGGAACACCGGUGGCGAAGGCGGGACUCUGGGCUGUAACUGACGCUGAGGAGCGAAAGCAUGGGGAGCGUUCAGGAUUUUAAACC